CUGACUAAAGCUUAACUUAAGCGCUUUAUUUACACUAAUGAGAAUGUUGUUUAAUCAAUAUAGUCUGA
rnacentral:tRNA from 1 species